rnacentral:misc_RNA from 1 species
GAUGAAGAACGCAGCGAAAUGCGAUACUUGGUGUGAAUUGCAGAAUCCCGUGAACCAUCGAGUCUUUGAACGCAAGUUGCGCCUCAAGCCAUUAGGUUGAGGGCACGUCUGCCUGGGCGUCACAUAUCGUUGCCUGAUGCCAGUUUCCUCGUGAUGGGUGACUGUGCAGGGCGAAUGAUGGCUUCCCGUGAGCAUUGUUGCCUCAUGGUUGGUUGAAAAUUGAGUCCUUGGUAGGGAGCGCCGUGAUAGAUGGUGGUUGAGUGACGAACGAGACCCAAUCAUGUGAGACCCCUACCGAAUUUGGCCCUCAUGACCCACAUGCGUCUUUGGAACGCUCAUGACGAGACCUCAGGUCAGGCGGGGCUACCCGCUGAGUUUAAGCAUAUCAAUAAGCGGAGGA